rnacentral:rRNA from 1 species
UACGGAGGGUGCAAGCGUUAUCCGGAUUUACUGGGUUUAAAGGGUGCGUAGGCGGAUAGGUAAGUCAGGGGUGAAAUCUUCGAGCUUAACUCGGAAAUUGCCUUUGAUACUAUUUAUCUUGAAUAUUGUGGAGGUAAGCGGAAUAUGUCAUGUAGCGGUGAAAUGCUUAGAUAUGACAUAGAACACCCAUUGCGAAGGCAGCUUACUACGCAUAUAUUGACGCUGAGGCACGAAAGCGUGGGGAUCAAACAGG